AGGAGGAACAACCGCAGUGGCUGCGGCCAGCUCUGGAGCCCUGGAGUCAGCCCCCGCAGUAACUCCGGAGCUCUCCGUCUGCAGGGCCUGGAGGCUCCGGGGCGGG
rfam:Canis lupus familiaris chromosome 20, whole genome shotgun sequence.